UACAGAGGGUGCGAGCGUUAAUCGGAAUUACUGGGCGUAAAGCGUGCGUAGACGGCUAUCUAAGUCGGGUGUGAAAGCCCCGGGCUCAACCUGGGAAUUGCAUUCGAGACUGAAUAGCUAGGGUACGGUAGAGGGAAGCGGAAUUUCCGGUGUAGCGGUGAAAUGCGUAGAUAUUGCUCGGAAGGCCAACGGCGAAGGCAGGUUACUGGUGCGCAACUGACACUGAGGCACGAAAGCGUGGGGAGCAAACAGG
rnacentral:rRNA from 1 species